rnacentral:rRNA from 1 species
AUCCUUUAGUAACUGCGAGUGAAACAGGAAGAGCUCAGCGCUGAAUCUCUAUGCUGUAAUGGUAUAGCGAACUGUAGCGUAUAGCAUUUAACAUUAUAUAACGUAUAAUAUCUUAAGUUCUCUUUGACUAGAGUUCCAUAGAAGGUGAUAGACCUGUUAAGAUAUUUUAUACGUUAUAUUUGUUUUAUGUUUUGAGUCGGGUUGUUUGGAAACACAGCCCAAAGUAGGUGGUAAACUUCACCUAAAGCUAAAUAUAUAUAUGAAUCCGAUAGCAAACAAGUACCGUGAGGGAAAGUUGAAAAGAACUCUGAGAGAGAGUUAAAUAGUACGUGAAACUGAAUAAGUGGAAGCGUAUAGAGUUGUCGAAAGAUGGUAAUAAUAAGUUGUAUAAUGGUGUAACGGUUAAUAAAAUGUUUUCUUUAUGAAUCAUUUUAUUUAUGCAGUUUAUUUUUAUGCAAUGCACUUGUUUCCAUUGUAUUGAUACAAUUGAUUAAGAUUUUGGAAAUAAUAUUAGAGGGCAUAUUUUCGAAUGUGUAUCCUGGUAUUAUGGAUAAAAUUUUUGGUUAAUUGUCCUAAAAGUCAUAAAAGAUGAUUUAUGUAUGAUAAUGUAUAAAAGUUAAUGCUUGCAUUGGCUUUUUUAUGUUGUUAUUAUCAUAAAUUUUAUGAUAUGCUUUUAUAUCAAUAUAAAAGACAAUCACCUAUAUGUCCCGUCUUGAAACACGGACCAAGGAGUUUAUCGUAUGUGCGAGUCAUUAAGUGAGUAAAACUUAUUGGCGUAAUGAAAGUAAAGUAAGAUUUUUAUCUUAUGAUAUAUGAUUGUUGAAUUGUUUUACACUUCAACAAGCAGUAUAGUCCCAUUCAAAUUGCUUGCAAUUGGGUGGAGAUAGAGCAUAUGCGAUGAGACCCGAAAGAUGGUGAACUAUGCCUGAGCAGGAUGAAGUCAGAGGAAACUCUGAUGGAAGUCCGAAGCGGUUCUGACGUGCAAAUCGAUCGUCUGACUUGGGUAUAGGGGCGAAAGACUAAUCGAACCAU